GUUAAGUGACGAAGCGUAUACGGUGGAUGCCUUGGCAGUUAGAGGCGAUGAAGGACGUGUAAGUCUGCGAAAAGCUGUGGUGAGCCGACAAAAUGCAUUUGAGCCACAGAUGUCCGAAUGGGGAAACCCACCUGUUUACAGGUAUCGUUAACUGAAUACAUAGGUUAACGAGGCAAACGAGGGGAACUGAAACAUCUAAGUACCCUUAGGAAAAGAAAUCAACCGAGAUUCCCCUAGUAGCGGCGAGCGAACGGGGAGCAGCCCUUAAGCUGUUUAGAAUUUAGUGGAAUCCUUUGGGAAGAGGAGCGAUACAAGGUGAUAGCCCUGUACACGACGGAUUCUUUACAGUGAAAUCGAGUAGGUCGGGACACGUGUUAUCUUGACUGAAUAUGGGGGGACCAUCCUCCAAGGCUAAAUACUCCUAACUGACCGAUAGUGAACCAGUACCGUGAGGGAAAGGCGAAAAGAACCCCUGUGAGGGGAGUGAAAUAGAUCCUGAAACCGUAUGCGUACAAGCAGUCGGAGCGGACUUGUUCCGUGACGGCGUACCUUUUGUAUAAUGGGUCAGCGACUUAUGUUCAGUGGCGAGGUUAACCGUUUAGGGGAGCCGUAGGGAAACCGAGUCUGAAUAGGGCGAUUUAGUCGCUGGGCAUAGACCCGAAACCGGGCGAUCUAUCCAUGAGCAGGUUGAAGGUUGAGUAACAUCAACUGGAGGACCGAACCCACUAACUUUGAAAAGUUAGGGGAUGACCUGUGGCUGGGGGUGAAAGGCCAAUCAAACCGGGAGAUAGCUGGUUCUCCCCGAAAUCUAUUUAGGUAGAGCCUCGGACGAAUUCCAUUGGGGGUAGAGCACUGUUAAGGCUAGGGGGUCAUCCCGACUUACCAACCCUUUGCAAACUCCGAAUACCAAUGAGAACUAUCCGGGAGACACACGGCGGGUGCUAACGUCCGUCGUGGAGAGGGAAACAACCCAGACCGCCAGCUAAGGUCCCAAAAUAUUGCUAAGUGGGAAACGAUGUGGGAAGGCAUAGACAGCUAGGAGGUUGGCUUAGAAGCAGCCACCCUUUAAAGAAAGCGUAAUAGCUCACUAGUCGAGUCGGCCUGCGCGGAAGAUGUAACGGGGCUCAAACUGGUUACCGAAGCUGCGGCUGUGCACGCAAGUGCACGGGGUAGGGGAGCGUUCUGUAAGCCUGCGAAGGUGUGUCGAGAGGCAUGCUGGAGGUAUCAGAAGUGCGAAUGCUGACAUGAGUAACGACAAUGGGGGUGAAAAACCCCCACGCCGGAAGACCAAGGGUUCCUGCGCAACGCUAAUCGGCGCAGGGUGAGUCGGCCCCUAAGGCGAGACCGAAAGGUGUAGUCGAUGGGAAACGGAUUAAUAUUUCCGUACCUUGGAUAGCUGCGAUGGAGAGACGGAGAAGGCUAGGUGAGCCGGGCGACGGUUGUCCCGGUUUAAGCAUGUAGGCAGUGGGAUUAGGCAAAUCCGGUCCCACAAUGCCGAGACGCGACGACGACUGCCCUUUUAGGGCGGGAAGUCAUUGAUGCCCUGCUUCCAGGAAAAUCUUCUAAGCUUCAGGCUAUUCGAGACCGUACCCCAAACCGACACAGGUGGUCAGGUAGAGAAUACUAAGGCGCUUGAGAGAACUCGGGUGAAGGAACUCGGCAAAAUUGUACCGUAACUUCGGGAGAAGGUACGCCUCUGUUUGUGAACACUUCGCGUGGUAAGCAAAUGGAGGCCGCAGUGACCAGGUGGCUGGGACUGUUUAUUAAAAACACAGCACUCUGCAAACUCGUAAGAGGACGUAUAGGGUGUGACACCUGCCCGGUGCCGGAAGGUUAAUUGAUGGGGUUAGUUUUCGGACGAAGCUCUUGAUCGAAGCCCCGGUAAACGGCGGCCGUAACAAUAACGGUCCUAAGGUAGCGAAAUUCCUUGUCGGGUAAGUUCCGACC
rnacentral:rRNA from 1 species